AUGGAGGCCCCGCCCGUCGCUGCGCCGGUGGCCCCACCCAUCCCUAUCCUGAGCAGGCUGACGAGGCGUGUGUCUGCUUUUCAGCGUUUGACUGGUCAGCCCAGGCGAGAGGUUUCGAACCGCGCGGCGAUUGAGAAUUCUGACAGGAGUGGUGGAGCGGUUGAGAAUUCAAACAUGAGUGGUGGAGCUGCGGGCGGAUUGGUGGUUCCGGAAGCGGCGGUUAUUCCCCCGCCUCGGAUGCUGGGGCGAGUGGAGUCUGAGCAGAGAAAAGAAGGGGAGACCACAUGCAACGCGGUCGUCCAGUCUAGAGCGUCGCCAGUGGGACCACUGGUGACAGCCCCGGUGCUUCCUGUCGCUUUGGAGCAGGUGGGGCCAGUCUUCGAGCUGGCGACCACUAAGGAAGGAGAGCAAGGAUCCCAAGACGGUGUGGCGAUUGGGCACCCGGAUGCGGCCAAAAUGCCUGUCGUGCCGCGGGAAGAGCCGACACACUCGGUGGAGGGCGCGCCCCUCGUGACCAUGCAGGGUGCAGCGAUACACGAUUCUGUGGUGGAGACGCAGCUAGAGGCGACACCUGGCCAACUGUCGCUGGUGGAGUGCAUGCAGCCGGUGGAUGGCCACACGCUGGCUGGGCCCCGCCCUGAUGGGAAUCAUGCAGUUUCUGCAUGCGACUCGAUUCACGUACCCGGGCCAACGGAGGUGCAUGUGGGCAAUGUGCUGCCUGUUGAGAGGCCAACGGAAGACCGUGCCAAUGGGACAUGCAUGGAGAUCGUUGUGGCUAACGUUCCAGCGAGUGGAUUGACAACCAAGGAGGCGGAGAUGUACGUAAAGCUCAAGGCGUUCUGUUCAAGCAUUGUGAAGAAACUUGCCCCACCAAUCCUCAGGGAGGUUCAGGCCUCCACCUUGUUUGAGGCAGAGCCAUUCACACCCAGGAGAACUACUCGGGCAGCCAAGAAAUCAGCGGUACAGGCAGCGCCAAGGGCCACACCAGCGGAGAAUGUACUCCUGCGUACGCUGGGACUCAUUCCGGAAGACUUGGAGGUGGAGGACACGGCCGUGCAAGAGCUCAAGUCGCUUUUUGACUCACCUCUUCGCGAGCAGCACGGGCGCGUGAUCGCAGCUCUGUUUGGCAAGGAGUUGCCAGGGCAGCUUAGCGGUGCUUGCUCAGGGGCUGCAGCUGGGAUCGGUGCGCAUUGA
rnacentral:rRNA from 1 species